rnacentral:rRNA from 1 species
AUUGAACGCUGGCGGCAUGCUUUACACAUGCAAGUCGAACGGCAGCACGGACUUCGGUCUGGUGGCGAGUGGCGAACGGGUGAGUAAUACAUCGGAACGUACCCAGUAAUGGGGGAUAACUAUCCGAAAGGAUAGCUAAUACUGCAUACGCCCUACGGGGGAAAGAGGGGGAUCGCAAGACCUCUUGUUAUUGGAGCGGCCGAUGGCUGAUUAGCUAGUUGGUGAGGUAAAGGCUCACCAAGGCGACGAUCAGUAGCGGGUCUUAGAGGACGAUCCGCCACACUGGAACUGAGACACGGUCCAGACUCCUACGGGAGGCAGCAGUGGGGAAUCUUGGACAAUGGGCGCAAGCCUGAUCCAGCAAUGCCGCGUGCGUGAAGAAGGCCUUCGGGUUGUAAAGCGCUUUUGUCAGGGAGCAAAAGGUGGUGGCUAAUAUCCAUCGCUCUUGAGAGUACCUGAAGAAUAAGGACCGGCUAACUACGUGCCAGCCGCCGCAGUAACAC